CCACAGGCAUCAGUAAGGUGCAGAAUGAGCGAAUGUUCCCACAUGGCAAAAAUGCCGCGGAUGUGCCGUUGAUUUUCAUGCAGCAAUCAGCAAUGUUGUACAGUUGAACAUUUUACAGUUUUUAAAUAAAAUAAAAAAUAUUCAUUCACGCCCUACAGAGUCUCCACACUGGAACCCGCAUGCAACUUUUCAAUCCGCAGGAUGUCAAUUUAUAGUG